UGGGGAAUCUUGGACAAUGGGGGCAACCCUGAUCCAGCCAUGCCGCGUGAGUGAUGAAGGCCUUAGGGUCGUAAAGCUCUUUCGCCUGUGAAGAUAAUGACGGUAGCAGGUAAAGAAACCCCGGCUAACUCCGUGCCAGCAGCCGCGGUAAUACGGAGGGGGUUAGCGUUGUUCGGAAUUACUGGGCGUAAAGCGCACGUAGGCGGACCAGAAAGUUGGGGGUGAAAUCCCGGGGGCUCAACCCCGGAACUGCCUCCAAAACUAUUGGUCUAGAGUUCGAGAGAGGUGAGUGGAAUUCCAAGUGUAGAGGUGAAAUUCGUAGAUAUUUGGAGGAACACCAGUGGCGAAGGCGGCUCACUGGCUCGAUACUGACGCUGAGGUGCGAAAGUGUGGGGAGCAAACAGGAUUAGAUACCCUGGUAGUCCACACCGUAAAACGAUGAAUGCCAGUCGUCGGGUAGCAUGCUAUUCGGUGACACACCUAACGGAUUAAGCAUUCCGGCCUGGGGCAGUACGGUCGCAAGAUU
rnacentral:rRNA from 1 species